rnacentral:rRNA from 1 species
AAUAGAUACCCGGGUAGUCCACGCCGUAAACGAUGAGUGCUAAGUGUUGGGGGGGUUUCCGCCCCUCAGUGCUGCAGCUAACGCAUUAAGCACUCCGCCUGGGGAGUACGGCCGCAAGGCUGAAACUCAAAGGAAUUGACGGGGGGCCCGCACAAGCGGUGGAGCAUGUGGUUUAAUUCGAAGCAACGCGAAGAACCUUACCAGGUCUUGACAUCCCGCUGCCCGGUAUAGAGAUAUAUCUUUCCCUUCGGGGACAGCGGUGACAGGUGGUGCAUGGUUGUCGUCAGCUCGUGUCGUGAGAUGUUGGGUUAAGUCCCGCAACGAGCGCAACCCUUGAUCUUAGUUGCCAGCAUUUAGUUGGGCACUCUAAGGUGACUGCCGGUGACAAACCGGAGGAAGGUGGGGAUGACGUCAAAUCAUCAUGCCCCUUAUGACCUGGGCUACACACGUGCUACAAUGGAUGGUACAAAGGGCUGCAAGACCGCGAGGUUUAGCCAAUCCCAUAAAACCAUUCUCAGUUCGGAUUGCAGGCUG